GCCCAGAGAGUUCAGUUGGGAGAGCCUUAGACUGAAGAUCUAAAGGACCCUGGUUCAAUUCCGUGUUUCAGCA
rnacentral:tRNA from 1 species